rnacentral:rRNA from 1 species
ACACGACUACAUUAGAUACCCGCGUAGUCCUAGCCGUAAACGAUACUCGCUAGGUGUCGGCCACGGUGCGACCGUUGUCGGUGCCGUAGGGAAGCCGUGAAGCGAGCCACCUGGGAAGUACGGCCGCAAGGCUGAAACUUAAAGGAAUUGGCGGGGGAGCACCACAACGGGUGGAGCUUGCGGUUUAAUUGGAUUCAACGCCGGAAAUCUUACCGGGACCGACAGCAACAUGAAGGCUAGGCUGAAGACUUUGCCGGAUUAGCUG